ensembl:lncRNA
GUGUUCCCGUCCUCUGCCAAUGCUCCACCUCAAUCCUCUGAUGAUGCACUACAUCUAACCUCUGCUGGCGCACUAACUAUGCAUUCCGACAGCCCUCCCAUCGUCUUCAGGUGUUCUAUGUCCUCUGCAGGUGCUCCUAUCCUCCACAGAUGCUCCACCUCUAUUUUCUGAAGGCACACAACAUAUAACCUCUGCCGGCGCACUAACUAUGCCUUCUGACAGCACUCCUGUCCUCCGCAGGUGCUCCCUGUUCUCCUCAGGUACUCCGAUCCUAGGCAGACCCUCCACCUCGAUCCUCUGAUGGCACACUACCUCUAACCUCUGCUGGCGCACUACCUCUAUCUUCUAACCACGCUCCCAUCAUCUGCAUGCCGUCUGCGUUCUCCGCAGAUGCUCUUGUCCUCUGUAGACGCUCCACCUCUAUCCUCUGAUGAUGCACUACAUCUAACCUCUGCUGGCGCACUAACUCUGUCUUCUGAUGGUGCUGCUGUCCUUGGCAAUCGCUUCCUGUUCUCCACAGGUGCUCCUAUCCUCCACAGAUGCUCCACCUAUAUCCUCUGAAGGCACACUACAUCUAACCUCUGCUGGCGCACUAACUCUGACUUCUGACAGCACUCCUGUCCUCCACAGCUGCUCCCUGUUCUCCGCAAAUGCUCCCGUCCUCCGCAGACGCUCCACCUCGAUCCUCCGACAGCGCACUACCUCUAUCUUCUGACAACACUCCCGUCAUCUGCAGGCACUCCUUGAUCUCUGUAGGUGUUCCCGUCCUCUGCCGAUGCUCCACCUAUAUCCUCUGAUGAUGCACUACAUCUAACCUCGGCCAGCGCACUAACUCUGUCUUCUGAUGGUGCUCCCAUCCUUGGCAAUCGCUUCCUCUUCUCUGCAGGUGCUCCUAUCCUCUGCAGAAGUUCUAGCUCUAUCCUCUGACAGCGCAGUACCUCUAACCUCUGCUGGUGCACUAACUAUGCAUUCCGACAGUGCUCCCAUCAUCUGCAGGUGUUCUGUGUCCUCUGCAGGUACCCCCAUCCUCCACAGGUGCUCUACCUCUAUCCUCUGAUGGCACACUACCUCUAACCUCUGCUGGCGCACUACCUCUAUCUUCUGACAACGCUGCCAUCAUCUGCCAGCGCUCUGUGUUCUCUGCAGGUGCUCCCGUCCUCCACAGAUGCUCCAUCUACAUCCUCUGAAGUCACACUACAUCUAACCUCUGCCAGCGCACUAACUAUGCCUUCUGAAAGCACUCCUGUCCUCCACGGGUGCUCCCUGUUGGUGGCAGGUGCUCCCAUCCACCGCAGACUCUCCACCUCGAUCCUCUGAUGUCACUCUGUCUCUAACCUCUGCUGGCGCACUACCUCUAUCUUCUAACCACGCUCCCAUCAUCUGCAAGCAGUCUCUGUUCCCCGCAGGUGCUCCUGUCCUCCCCAGACGCUCCACCUAGAUCCUCCGACAGCGCACUACAUCUAACCUCUGCUGGCGCACUAACUAUACCUUCUGACAGCACUCCCAUCCUCCGCACGUGCUCCCUGUUCUCCGCAAAUGCUCCCGUCCUCCCCAGACGCUCCACCUCGAUUCUCCGACAGCGCACUACCUCUAACCUCUGCCGGCGCGCUACCUCUGUCUUCUGACAACACUCCUGUCAUCUGCAGGCACUCCUUGAUCUCUGUAGGUUUUCCCGUCCUCUGCCGAUGCUCCACCUAUAUCCUCUGAUGAUGCACUACAUCUAACCUCUGCUGGUGCACUAACUACGCAUUCCGACAGUGCUCCCAUCAUCUCCAGGUGUUCUGUGUUCUCUGCAGGUACCCCCAUCCUCCACAGGUGCUCUACCUAUGUCCUCUGAAGGCACACUACCUCUAACCUCUGCCGGCGCACUAACUAUGUCUUCUGACAGCGCUCCCAUCCUCCGCAGGUGCUCCCUGUUGUCCUCAGGUGGUCCGAUACUCCGCAGACCCUCCACCUAUAUCCUCUGAUGGCACACUACCUCUAACCUCUGCUGGUGCACUAACUAUGCCUUCUGACAGCACUCCUGUCCUCCACAGGUGCUCCCUGUUGGCUGCAGGUGCUCCCAUCCACCCCAGACCCUCCACCUCGAUCCUCUGAUGGCACACUACCUCUAACCUCUGCUGGCGCACUACCUCUAUCUUCUUACAACGCUCCCAUCAUCUGCUGGCGCUCUGUGUUCUCUACACGUGCUCCCAUUCUCGGCAGAUGUUCCACCUAUAUCCUCUCAAGGCACACUACCUCUAACCUCUGCCGGUUCACUAGCUAUUCCUUCUGACAGCACUCCCGUUCUCCGCAGUCAGUCCCUGCUUGCCGCAGGUGCUCCCGUCCUCUGCAGACCCUCCACCUCAAUCCUCCAACAGCACACUACCUCUAACCUCUGCCUGCAAGCUACCUCUAUCUUCAGAUCAUGCUUCCAUCAUCUGCAGGCACUCCUUGAUCUCCACAGAUAUUCCCAUCCUCCCCAGACCUUGCACUUCGAUCCUGUGACAGCGCACUACCUGUAACCACUGCCAGUGUGCUACCUCUAUCUUCUGUUCGCGCUCCCGUCAUCUGCAGGCACUCUUUGUUCUUCACAGGUGCUCCCGUCCUCCGCAGACUCUUCACCUCUAUCCCGUGAUGGCACACUGCAUCUAAACUCUGCCAGCUCACUAACUCUGUCUUUCGACAGCGCUCCCGUCCUGCACAGGCUCUCCAUGUUCUCUGCAGGUGAUCUCUUCCUCCCUAGACCCUCCACCUCGAUCCUCUGAUGGGGCACUACAUCUAACCUCUGCCAGCGCACUACCUCUAUCUUCUGACAACACUCCCAUCAUCUGCAGGCCGUCUGUGUUCUCCGCAGAUGCUCCUGUCCUCCGCAGAUGCUCCACCUAUAUCUUCUGAUGGCACACUACAUCUAACCUCUGCCAGUGCACUAAAUCUGUCUUAUGACGGCACUCCUGUCCUCCGCAAUUACUUCCAGUUCCCUGCAGGUGCUCUUUUCCUCCGCAGACAUUCCACCUCUAUCCUCCAACAGCGCACUACAUCUAACCUCUGCCGGUGCACUAAUUCUGUUUUCUGCCGGUGUUCCCGUCCUCUGCAGUCACUCCCUGUUCUCCGCAGGUUCUCCUGUUCUCCGCAGACCCACUACUUUGAUCCUCCAACAGUGCACUACCUCUAACCUCUGCCGGCAAGCUACCUCUAUCUUCUGAUUGUGCUCCCAUCAUCUGCUGGCACUCCUUGUUCUCCGCAGGUCCUCUUUUUCUCCGCAUACGUUACACCUCUAUCGUCUGACAGUGCACUACCUCUAACCUUUGCCGGCGUGCUACCUCUUAUCCUCUGCUGGUGUGUUACCUCUAAUCUCUGCUGGUGCUACCUUUGUCUUCUGACUGAGCUCCCGUCCCCCGUAGGUGCUCCCUGUUUUCUUCAGGUGCUCCUGUCCUCCACAGACCAUCCACCUCUGUCCUCCAAUGGUGCACUACCUCUAACCUCUGCUGGCGCACUACCUCUAUAUUCUGACGGUGCUCCUGUCCUCUGCAAGCGCUCCCUGUUCCCCACAGGUGCUCCCUGUCCUCUGCAGGUACUCCACCUCUAUUCUCUGAUGGCACACUACAUCUAACCUCCACCGGCGUGCUACCUCUAUCUUCUGACGGUGCUCCCAUCCUCUGCUGGCGCUCCCUGUUCUCUGCAGGUGCUUUCAUUCUCCACAGACACUCCACCUCUAUCUUCCAAUGUCGCACUACAUCUAACCUCUGCUGGCGCACUACCUCUAUCUUCUGAUGGCUCUCCCAUCCCCCGCAGCUGUUGCACCUCUUUCCUCUGCUAGCACACUACCUCUAACCUUUGCCAGCGCACAACCACUAUCCUCUGACGACGUUCCUGUCCUCUGCAGGCACUCCCCAUCUCCUCAGGUGUUCCCGUCCUCCGCAAACCCUCCACCUUUAUCCUCCAAUGGUGCACUACCUCUAACCUCUACCGGCGCACUACCUCUGUCUUCUGACAGUGCUCCCAUCCUCCACAGAUGCUCCACCUCUAUCUUCUGACAGCGCACUACCUCUAACCUCCGCCGGCGCACUACCUGUAUUCUCCGACGGCACUGUGUCCUCCGCAAAC